CCGAGUUUACAACUCCCAAACCCCUGUGAACAUACCUAUAUGUUGCCUCGGCGGAUCAGCCCGCGCCCCGUAAAACGGGACGGCCCGCCGCAGGAUCCACAAACUCUGUUUUUAUUGUAACUUCCGAGUAACAAAACAAAUAAAUCA
rnacentral:misc_RNA from 1 species